AACUUUGCUCUAAGCAUACAGUGUUCAAUUAGUUUCUGGCGCAGAUUUGCCUCUGUAAGGAGUCUCGGAUGUCCUCGCCAGCACUCUGCAUGGAACAAAUGGGAAAAAUCACACUUGCAUGAUCAAAUUUAAAAAAAGGAUGAAAUUGAAGAUGAACCCUUGUUUCACCCUGAGUAUGGUCACUGUCCCACCUCCCUGUGUAGCCUUUGGAUGGAGACAACAAGGACUUCUCUUCUGGGCCCCAUGCUUUAGAAGCUCUCAGUUCUGACACAUCAUGAUCCCUCACCCUGAACCUCCACUCCUGUGAGCAUUCAAGUCCCAGGAAAAUGCUUCUCCACGUCUCUUACCCUGGGUCCUCAAAAAAGACAGGCAGCUUCUGGCACAGCAUCAGCUGCGGUCCUGAGAAAGUCACUGCUUUAAAGGGGUACCUGGCUCUUAGAGGCUUGAAGAGAAAAGCAUCUUCCUUCUGUGAUUUCUCAGGGAAGUGCCAGCAAGAAAGAGAGAUCCAUCCCUGCGACUGUCUUCCUUUCUGUGAAGAGUUCUGGCCAGUUACCUCCUGUUCACUUUUGUGUGGUGCAUAAUCUUCAAAGUCGUUCAAAAAUAAAUAAAAUGAAAAAAAAAACCCAAAAACAAAACAAAACAAAAAGAGCCCUUUAGUUACCUAAACAA